rnacentral:piRNA from 1 species
UAAGUGUCAAGAACACUGGGAGCCAAU